UACGUAGGGUGCGAGCGUUAAUCGGAAUUACUGGGCGUAAAGCGGGCGCAGGCGGUUUUGUAAGCCAGAUGUGAAAUCCCCGGGCUUAACCUGGGAAUGGCAUUUGGGACUGCAAGGCUUGAGUGCGGCAGAGGAGACUGGAAUUCCUGGUGUAGCAGUGAAAUGCGUAGAUAUCAGGAGGAAUACCGAUGGCGAAGGCAGGUCUCUGGGCUGACACUGACGCUCAUGCACGAAAGCGUGGGGAGCAAACAGG
rnacentral:rRNA from 1 species